rnacentral:rRNA from 1 species
AGCCCGGAGAUGGACACUGAGACAAGGGUCCAGGCCCUAAGGGGCGCAGCAACCGCGAAACCUCCACAAUGCACUCACGUGCGAUGGGGCUAUCUCGAGUGCCACCUGAUGAAGGUGGCUUUUCCUUGGUCUUCAAAGCCUUGGGAAUAAGAGAGGGGCAAGACUGGUGUCAGCCGCCGCGGUAACACCAGCCCCUCGAGUGGUGGGGAUGAUUAUUUGGCCUAAAGCGUCCGUAGCCGGCCGAGCAAGUCUUCCGUUAAAUCCAGCGUCUCAAGCGUUGGACCGCGGGAGAUACUACACGGCUAGAGAGUGGGAGAGGUCAGCGGUAUUCUGGGGGUAGGGGCGAAAUCCUUUGAUCCCCGGAGGACCACCAGUGGCGAAGGCUGCUGACUAGAACACGUCUGACGGUCAGGGACGACAGCUGGGGUAGCGAACCGGAUUAGAUACCCGGGUAGUCCCAGCCGUAAACGAUGCAUGCUAGGUGUUGGGUUGGCCACGAGCCACCCCAGUGCCGCAGGGAAGCCGUUAAGCAUGCCGCCUGGGAAGUACGAUCGCAAGAUUGAAACUUAAAGGAAUUGGCGGGGGAGCACAAUCG